UUCGGGUCGCCGGCGAGUGGCAAACGGGUGAGUAACGCGUGGAUACCUGUCCUGUGGUGGGGAAUAACGUUUAGAAAUGAACGCUAAUACCGCAUAAGCCCUGCGGGGGAAAGAUUUAUCGCCAUAGGAGGGGUCCGCGUCGGAUUAGCUAGUUGGUGGGGUAACGGCCUACCAAGGCGACGAUCCGUAGCUGGUCUGAGAGGAUGAUCAGCCACACUGGGACUGAGACACGGCCCAGACUCCUACGGGAGGCAGCAGUGGGGAAUAUUGCGCAAUGGAGGAAACUCUGACGCAGCGACGCCGCGUGGGUGAAGAAGGCCUUAGGGUUGUAAAGCCCUUUCAGUGGGAAAGAUGAUGACGGUACCCACAGAAGAAGCCCCGGCUAACUCCGUGCCAGCAGCCGCGGUAAUACGGAGGGGGCCAGCGUUGGUCGGAAUUACUGGGCGUAAAGGGCGCGUAGGCGGUUGAUCAAG
rnacentral:rRNA from 1 species